rnacentral:lncRNA from 1 species
CAUGAUUCCUUUGUUUAAUCCUCACAAGGGCACUACAGAGUGGGCUAGUUCAGCUAUGUUCCCUUUGAUAGAUGAAAAAUUAAAACUAGACACAGAGAGGGGUAGCCAGGCAGCAACUGUGUGGUGAGCUGGGAUAGCCCCAGACUGGCUCCAGGGACUGCAGGGUAGACCGAGCUAUAAGGCUGGUGCUUUCUCUUCUCCUCUCCCUUCCCUGCCUUGCUGUCCUCCUUCCCUCCCUCCUUCCUCAAUUCCUGCCAUCAGAUCACGUGUCCAAAUAUUCUUCCAAUUGUCCACCCAUCCACCCACCUGGUGCCCAGUGGCUUUUCCCUUCUCUCCACAGUAGUGGACCUGCAUCAAGAAAGGGACCAAAGGGAAGCAAGAUGCAGCUGCUGCCUGCAGAAGGGCUUUCUGACAAGGACGGGUGAUGUAGAAGCAUCCACCUGCCACAGGACAUAGCUUGAACACUUCGGGUGCUGAGCCCUUCCUGCCUGUGGGAUACUGAGCAGUUUUGCAAUGAUUUUCUCCUUUCACCCGCGAGACGGCUCCAAGUUCAAAGCCAUUAUUCUCCUGUGGCAGAGAGGAGACUGAAGUCCAGAGAGGGAGGGUGAAGUGAGACAAAGCGUGGAAGCUGUGUUGGCACCUGGUGAGUUCUUAGAGGUGGAGGUCCCUGUGGAUGCUGCAACUGAUAAUACGUAUCUCCCCAAAGUCCUGCAGGAAGGGCUGGAGCCCAGCCGACAAGCAACAGGGGAGGCCUUGCGCCCAGGUGUUCUUGCCUGCCUGGGCUGUCUGGGGCAACCAGGUCCAAACGGGGUGUCACCCCCAAGGGCGGGACUAGGGUACAAGUCACAUCAUGAGGGAGACCUCCCUUUCCCACGGCACCCCAGAGCUGCCAAGCGCCACGCUGCCAUUGCAUAAGCCACCGACCUGCCACCGCUGGCUGCCCCGUGCGUUGCCACGUAAAUAGAACCCUGUAUUUACCUACCCUGGGGAAGGGACAGGCCUACCUGGUGGGCGGGGAGACAGCAGCUCAGAGGCCUCCAGCUCUGAUUUCUGUUCUGCUCCAAGUGCACACACAUCCUGUGCCCAGGAGCUGGGCUUGGGUGGGGGUGCACCGGCAGAAGGGGCCAAAGGAAACUCUGCGUCCUGGGAGCAUGGGCCAAAGGCCUCUGGGUUGCAGGCUCAGGUUGCAGCCACCAGCUCUGGGCGGGGGAGACCAGACUUGCCUUGCAGGCUACGGCCAUAUCUGAGCAGCAAGCGUCAGAUGGCACUGAUGGCCCCAGAGACCUCCCUGCUGUUGGCACUGGUCAGCUGCACAGGAAGGACAAAUGGCCAUCUGCACAGCCAGGGCCAGAGCCCAGGAGUCUCCAGGAGCCAGCCAUGGGCACAGCCCCACCUGUAACAACCAUUCCUCCAGAAAGCCAAACUCAGUAAAGACUUAUUUUGUUGUAAAGAAAUAUAAUACAUGUUUUAGCUUUAAUUUCCAUAACAUUCUAGAUGUUCCUAUUCUUGUUUUACACAGGAAGAAACUGAGGCACAGAGAAGUAAAUGACUGAUCCAAGGCCACAGAGCUAAUGGGAUGAUAGAGUCAGGAUUUGAA